GGAAAAUGAGCCACAGGUGAGUUGGAAGCAGGUGAUUUAACAGUGAGAAAACCACACACGCACACUUGCGCAAUGUUGUUCCUAAUGAAGGCAUUCUGUCGAGCGAAGUGAACUUCGGCUGAUACGCGGCGCGUGGGGAGCAGGGGGCAGUGAACGCUGGGACUCUGUCGAUCAGAACGCAGCUCAAGAAUGAACACCCAAGACUAAAAACCAGGUGAUUAUGUGAUUUUUCUAUCAAAAUGCAAUAAAUAUACAUCAAAUUAAAUAGAGAUAAAUGUGAAUUAAUGUGAAUAACAAAUUAAAUAUAAAUUAAUUAACUAACUAAUGAGUGAGUGAAUGAAUGAAUGAAUUAAUGAAUAACUUUGCAACUAGGAUACACACUGCAUUCUUUAUUAAAAAAAAAAAAAUUGCAGACAUAACAUACCAAAUUUAAAGUUUGGACAGUUGCAUAUUAUUUCCAAUAUAAUGGAAAUGUAUAAUAAUUUUAACUGAUAAUAAAGUUUAACUUUAUUUUAACUUUAAGUACAGAGUA